rnacentral:rRNA from 1 species
GACGAACGCUGGCGGCGUGCCUAAUACAUGCAAGUCGAGCGAGCGGCGGACGGGUGAGUAACACGUAAGGAACCUACCGCUAAGCGGGGGACAACAUCCGGAAACGGGUGCUAAUACCGCAUACUUAUCGAUGGCCUUGCGGUGCAUUAGCUGGUUGGUGGGGUAACGGCCUACCAAGGCCAUGAUGCAUAGCCGACCUGAGAGGGUAAUCGGCCACACUGGGACUGAGACACGGCCCAAACUCCUACGGGAGGCAGCAGUAGGGAAUAUUCCGCAAUGGGCGCAAGCCUGACGGAGCCACGCCGCGUGAGUGAAGAAGGUCUUCGGAUCGUAAAGCUCUGUUGUAAGGGAGGCGGUACUUUACCAGAAAGCAACGGCUAACUACGUGCCAGCAGCCGCGGUAAUAC